GUCGUGAGAUGUUGGGUUAAGUCCCGCAACGAGCGCAACCCUUGUCCCUAGUUGCUACGCAAGGGCACUCUAGGGAGACUGCCGGUGACAAACCGGAGGAAGGUGGGGAUGACGUCAAGUCCUCAUGGCCCUUAUGGGUAGGGCUUCACACGUCAUACAAUGGCCGGUACAGAGGGUUGCCAACCCGCGAGGGGGAGCCAAUCCCAGAAAGCCGGUCGUAGUCCGGAUUGCAGUCUGCAACUCGACUGCAUGAAGUCGGAAUCGCUAGUAAUCGCGGAUCAGCAUGUCGCGGUGAAUACGUUCCCGGGUCUUGUACACACCGCCCGUCACACCAUGGGAGCGGGAUGUACCAGAAGUAGGUAGGCUAACCCGAGGGCAACUGAGGGAGGCCGCUUACCACGGUGCGUUUCGUGACUGGGGUGAAGUCGUAACAAGGUAGCCGUAUCGGAAGGUGCGGCUGGAUCACCUCCUUUCUCGGAAACAGAUGUCAGUUGUCAGUUGACAGUUGUCAGUAAUGGCAACCCCAACCAACGGCUGCGCAUCCAUGCCCAACCUGCGAGUACCCACAACCUAUCGGUUGCACGACACACUAGUGCAGCACGACACGACACCGGGCCUGUAGCUCAGUUGGUUAGAGCACCGUCUUGAUAAGGCGGGGGUCGAUGGUUCGAAUCCAUCCAGACCCACCAGGGAUCCAAACCGGGGCUGUAGCUCAAUUGGGAGAGCGCCUGCUUUGCAAGCAGGAGGUCGUCGGUUCGAUCCCGUCCAGCUCCACCAUUCAGAAGUCAGGAAUCAGAAGACAGAGGACAGACGGAUGGAGUGGGUUGGGACUUUCUGAAUUCUGUCCUCUGACUCCUGAAUUCUGAAACCUAUCGGUUGCCAGCCAGCACUCAACCAUGCACUUUCAGAAGCUGAGAACGCACUGUUGAGAGCUGCAGUGUUCUUUAACAAUUCGGAAGGUAAGGGUUCACGAGACUUGAUGAGAGUUUCGUGAGCAAUAGGGUUGAGUUGUAUCUUCAAAAAGCCGGUCACCUUUUAAAAGGGGGGUGAGCGGUGGCGCGAACACAUUCGUAGCGAUGAGUCCUCUCGAGGGCUCACAGUUAUGGGGUCAAGCGACUAAGUGCAUGUGGUGGAUGCCUAGGCGAUUACAGGCGAUGAAGGACGUGGCGGCCUGCGAAAAGCUCCGGGGAGCUGGCAAACAAGCAUUGAUCCGGAGAUGU
rnacentral:sRNA from 1 species